rnacentral:rRNA from 1 species
AUUGAACGCUGGCGGCAGGCCUAACACAUGCAAGUCGAACGCGUGGCGGUCGGGUGAGUAAUGUCUGGGAAAUUGCCUGAUGGAGGGGGAUAACUUCUGGAAACGGUUGCUAAUACCGUAUACCAUCAGAUGUGCCCAGAUGGGAUUAGCUAGUUGUUGGGGUAACGGCUCACCAAGGCGACGAUCCCUAGCUGGUCUGAGAGGAUGACCAGCCACACUGUAACUGAGACACGGUCCAGACUCCUACGGGAGGUAGCAGUGGGGAAGAUUGCACAAUGGGCGCAAGCCUGAUGCAGCCAUGCCGCGUGUAUGAAGAAGGCAUUCGGGUUGUAAAGUACUUUCAGCGGGGAGGCGUUACCGGAAGAAGAAGCACCGGCUAACUCCGUGCCAGCCGCCGCGGUAAUUC